rnacentral:rRNA from 1 species
GUCAGCGGCGGACGGGUGAGUAACACGUGGGCAACCUGCCUGUAAGACUGGGAUAACUUCGGGAAACCGGAGCUAAUACCGGAUAACACCGAGGACCUCAUGGUCCUUGGUUGAAAGAUGGCUUCGGCUAUCACUUACAGAUGGGCCCGCGGCGCAUUAGCUAGUUGGUGAGGUAACGGCUCACCAAGGCGACGAUGCGUAGCCGACCUGAGAGGGUGAUCGGCCACACUGGGACUGAGACACGGCCCAGACUCCUAC